CACCUUCCCCUCACAGCCAUGCUGACUAAAGGGAACUACGUACAGGGAGUGGAGAUAGGGGGUAGAACUAGAGGAUCAAACUUCUCCAGGCUUUCUUCUGACCCUCAACUUCCCAGCUGGCCUGAGUGUAAUUUAGAAACCAACUCAGAUCUCAUAUAUUCAUGGCCUCUGGAGUAAAACGUGAGCAGCCACAAUCCCCCUAUCUACGUUUGGAUGGAGGUGAUAAGACUUCUUAAAGCUCCUGAAAGAUUUCAGGAAACAUCUUCUUUGGACCACCUACAGCACAAUAACACAAUCCCUGAUUUAAGCUGUAGUGGUAAUGGAACCUGCAACCUCUGUUAUCUGUUAAAGGAAGAUCCACCCUUUCCUGUUCUGCAGAAUGAACAAACAUCUUUUAGUAAACCAAAGGAAGAAUCACAUUACACAGUGAUUAUCCAGGAUGUACUCAUAUUACAGGGAUUUUUUAACCUCUGGGUUUAUGUGAAUAUAAUGUGAAUUGUUAUGGAAUAUCAGAAAAAUGUGAAAAUAAAAAAAAUGUGAUCAAGUUAUAAAUCAUUACUAGAGUGCCAAAAGAGCGAGAUAAUAGGAGAAUGUGCU
ensembl:lncRNA